AUCCAGAGUUUGAUCAUGGCUCAGGACGAACGCUGGCGGCGUGCUUAACACAUGCAAGUCGAACGAUGACGGAGAGCUUGCUCUUCUGAUUAGUGGCGAACGGGUGAGUAACACGUGAGCAAUCUGCCCUUGACUCUGGGAUAAGCGUUGGAAACGACGUCUAAUACCGGAUACGACCUUGGAAGGCAUCUUCUGGGGUGGAAAGAAUUUUGGUCAGGGAUGAGCUCGCGGCCUAUCAGCUAGUUGGUGAGGUAAUGGCUCACCAAGGCGACGACGGGUAGCCGGCCUGAGAGGGUGACCGGCCACACUGGGACUGAGACACGGCCCAGACUCCUACGGGAGGCAGCAGUGGGGAAUAUUGCACAAUGGGCGAAAGCCUGAUGCAGCAACGCCGCGUGAGGGACGACGGCCUUCGGGUUGUAAACCUCUUUUAGUAGGGAAGAAGGGAGCUGCUCUGACGGUACUGCAGAAAAAGCACCGGCUAACUACGUGCCAGCAGCCGCGGUAAUACGUAGGGUGCAAGCGUUGUCCGGAAUUAUUGGGCGUAAGAGCUCGUAGGCGGUUUGUCGCGUCUGCUGUGAAAACCCGAGGCUCAACCUCGGGCCUGCAGUGGGUACGGGCAGACUAGAGUGCGGUAGGGGAGAUUGGAAUUCCUGGUGUAGCGGUGGAAUGCGCAGAUAUCAGGAGGAACACCAAUGGCGAAGGCAGAUCUCUGGGCCGUAACUGACGCUGAGGAGCGAAAGCAUGGGGAGCGAACAGGAUUAGAUACCCUGGUAGUCCAUGCCGUAAACGUUGGGAACUAGAUGUGGGGACCAUUCCACGGUCUCCGUGUCGCAGCUAACGCAUUAAGUUCCCCGCCUGGGGAGUACGGCCGCAAGGCUAAAACUCAAAGGAAUUGACGGGGGCCCGCACAAGCGGCGGAGCAUGCGGAUUAAUUCGAUGCAACGCGAAGAACCUUACCAAGGCUUGACAUAUAGAGGAAACGGCUGGAAACAGUCGCCCCGCAAGGUCUCUAUACAGGUGGUGCAUGGUUGUCGUCAGCUCGUGUCGUGAGAUGUUGGGUUAAGUCCCGCAACGAGCGCAACCCUCGUCCUAUGUUGCCAGCACGUAAUGGUGGGAACUCAUGGGAUACUGCCGGGGUCAACUCGGAGGAAGGUGGGGAUGACGUCAAAUCAUCAUGCCCCUUAUGUCUUGGGCUUCACGCAUGCUACAAUGGCCGGUACAAAGGGCUGCAAUACCGCAAGGUGGAGCGAAUCCCAAAAAGCCGGUCUCAGUUCGGAUUGAGGUCUGCAACUCGAC
rnacentral:rRNA from 1 species